rnacentral:rRNA from 1 species
UACGGGGGGGGCAAGCGUUGUUCGGAAUUACUGGGCGUAAAGGGCCAGUAGGCGGCCAACUAAGUCGGAUGUGAAAUCCCCAGGCUCAACUUGGGAACUGCAUCCGAUACUGGAUGGCUUGAAUUCGGGAGAGGGAUGCAGAAUUCCAGGUGUAGCGGUGAAAUGCGUAGAUAUCUGGAGGAACACCGGUGGCGAAGGCGGCAUCCUGGACCAACACUGACGCUGAGGAGCGAAAGCCAGGAGAGCAAACGGG